CUCUUCGAGCCCAUAUGCAAAUGCAAGUACUGUGAUGCAAGAGAAUGAACUCAGAAUUCAUCGCCAAUGGCGUCGCUAAGAAUAGUCGAAAAUCUCCUUCAAAGCCGAAUCCAUGUCUCUCCGUCUUUCACGCAUUAUGUCCAACACACUCUCUCCGCUCACUCCCUCUCAUUCACUCUUCUCGAACCGAGAUCGCAAGUAUUGUCAUGCGCGAGACAGAACUCAGUAUUCAUCGCCAAUGGCGUCCCUGAGACUAGUCGAAAAUCUCCUUCCAAAACGAAUCCAUGUCUCUAUGUCUCUCACGUGUUAUCGUCUCUCUCUCUGCUAUCGUCCUCUCCGGCCUUGUUCUCAAAACAACCUUUUAGAACUAUUCGCCCUUUUUAACAACCUGCUCUCCCUCUCCCUCCUCCACCGCCAUUGCCGAAUCGAAGGAAUCAAGUUCCUCUUCCUCUUCCUCGUUUUUUGUUUGUGUUUUCGAUGAUUAAAUAUUGAAUUUCUGGUUUCUUGAUGUUUCCAGAUUAAUUCAGUACCGACGAAGCCGCGGAAGGCCAAAAGACCUGGAUCAGUGGAAUUUGAAAAGAAGGGACUUGUGGUUUUGAUGGAUUCAAAAUUUUCAUGUGCGGCCAUUGCUUGAUUCACUGCCUCCUGAGAACUAAGACAAUGGGCUCUUGGUAUUAGAAGGAGACGGUUGUUACUUUAAUCAAGACGCUGGUGAAUUUUCUUUGUUGUGUUCUGUUAGUAAUUAAUUGGUAAUUUUCCUUAUAUUUGCUCGCUUAGGUUGUUAAUAUACAGGAGAGGAAACUACAGCUUCCUGUAUCUCUAUGUCGCUUACAAACUCAGUUAAUUCUGUUUGUAACUGCAGAUUAUUAUUAUUAAGAUUGCUGCGGGAAAUGUGCAGGCAAAUUUUUGGUUGGCAAUUAAGUCUUUCCAUUGGCUAAUAUGCUUUUGUUUGUUGUAGCUGUUGUGUACGGGAAAUGAUGCCAAGUGCCUUUGGCUGGUAAAAUUCUUGGAACCUUUUUCUUAAGCUAAGAAUGGAUGUACCAAGACAAAACAUUUUGUUGCAGGGACAGUCUCAACCAUCCUUUUCAUGAGUCCACUUUCUAAACAUUGUACUUGAUAAAGUUCAGAGAUUCUUUCUCUUUAGAAGGUCUGAUGUCUACGCCAGCUGUUUCUGCUGCUAUCCGGAAGAGAAAGGCCAAUGGUGGAUUUACAAUGAAUCCAUAAUCCCGCCAGGCCCGAGUAAGAUUGGGGCAGCAAGGGUGAACUCCUUGAGCUCCUUCUUAGACACAUCUUGAAUCAUUAGGGAAUGAAUACAAUUCAGAUUUUCUUCACUUUCAUUAUAAAUUUCCAUUUUAUUCAAAACCUGUUUUUUUUUUUUUUGUGGCAAUGGAUUGCACUGCUUGCAAAAUCCGCUAAAUGAGGUUUUCCGGCUCAAAAGUGUAUUGUUUCUUUUGUUGUUCCAGUUCAAUUAUAGCAGUGGACAACCUGCACCUGAAUCAAUCACUGACAAGAUUUGUGGAAACACUCUUUCUUUGAUGGCCAGUAUCUGCUUGUACUUUGCUAUGGGUGUCCUAUGCGCCCUGCAUUGAAGAGUUUCUACAAUAUCAAAGAAGUUCACCAUUGGAAAUGAGCAUACCUGUGUUCCAGUUCAGGAGGCACUAUCCAUUUAAGAUAUUGGCUGAUUUUAUGUAUGCCGAUCAUGAUUCUGCUAGUGUUAUGAUGAGUUUAUUCUAUGCACUCUUGAUCUGCUCUCUGGAGUUGCUGAGGUCCUGGUAACGGCAUAGAGAGUUUGGCUCAUGCAUCCAAUCCCCAACUUUUGCGAUAAAAGGCUCGGAUGAUGUUGAUGAUGACGACUGAGCCAAACUCAUGGAUGUCUUUUAGUGAAAAGGUAACACCUGUUGGCUGACAGUUUUUUCCCUUCUUUUUCCUGAUAAUAUGGCUGACAUGAUUAGUUAAACACAUCCCUACGUUCUGUCAGCCAAUAUCCUUGCACCAGUGAUGCCAUAAAAAUGUGUUUGAUUCAUGAUUCAGAAACCUAAUAAAAUUAAAAUAGAAACCUAAUAAAAUUAUGAUAGAAACCUAAUCAAAAUCGAAAUAUCUUAUUUACGAAUUUUGAGGAUGUCACCUAUUUUACUUCUUUGGUCACCUUUUAAGGAUUUACUUGGAAUUUGGGAUCUUGUGUUGUUGCCAAAUGUUGAGUAAAUGAAUAAGCCUUCUUUGAUCUAUCCUAGUUGUGUAAACCAGUAAACCUUGCCACUUGAACUGCCAUGCCAUGUCAUCAGAUCUGUCGGGCCCCACAAUCUGAUCCUUAUGUUGCUGCUGUUUCGAAAUUGUUUCAUUUCUCUUCUAGUAAGGUAUUUUACUUUUCUUAAGUUAGCAUUUUUUUUUUCAUUUUCUAUAAUCGUUUUAUAUGUGCUUUCCAUUGGUUAGUGAGCGUCCAUAAUUUUACUAGGCCUCUUUACUGGAUAAGUAGAUAUAAAUGACUGUUUGAUUCUAUAAUCCUUGUUGGCUGUGAUUGAUACUA